rnacentral:rRNA from 1 species
CAGUCGCCGCGGUAAUACGAAGGGUGCAAGCGUUAAUCGGAAUUACUGGGCGUAAAGGGUGCGUAGGCGGUUGUUUAAGUCUGUUGUGAAAUCCCCGGGUUCAACCUGGGAAUGGCAAUGGAAACUGGAAGGCUAGAGUGUGUCAGAGGAUGGUGGAAUUCCCGGUGUAGCGGUGAAAUGCGUAGAGAUCGGGAGGAACAUCAGUGGCGAAGGCGACUAUCUGGGCCAACACUGACACUGAGGCACGAAAGCGUGGGGAGCAAACAGGAUUAGAUACCCGCGUAGUCCCUGUCCCUUAUAC